GUUUUAAUAGUUUAAACAAAACACCAGUCUUGUAAACUGGAAUUGAAGACAUAAUUCUUCUUAAAGCA
rnacentral:tRNA from 1 species